rnacentral:rRNA from 1 species
GACGAACGCUGGCGGCGUGCUUAACACAUGCAAGUCGAACGGAAAGGCCCUGCUUUUGUGGGGUGCUCGAGUGGCGAACGGGUGAGUAACACGUGAGUAACCUGCCCUUGACUUUGGGAUAACUUCAGGAAACUGGGGCUAAUACCGGAUAGGAGCUCCUGCUGCACGGUGGGGGUUGGAAAGUUUCGGCGGUUGGGGAUGGACUCGCGGCUUAUCAGCUUGUUGGUGGGGUAGUGGCUUACCAAGGCUUUGACGGGUAGCCGGCCUGAGAGGGUGACCGGCCACAUUGGGACUGAGAUACGGGCCAGACUCCUACGGGAGGCAGCAGUGGGGAAUAUUGCACAAUGGGCGGAAGCCUGAUGCAGCAACGCCGCGUGCGGGAUGACGGCCUUCGGGUUGUAAACCGCGUUCGCCUGUGACGAAGCGUGAGUGACGGUAAUGGGUAAAGAAGCACCGGCUAACUACGUG